UACGGGGGGAGCAAGCGUUGUUCGGAUUUACUGGGCGUAAAGGGCGCGUAGGCGGCGUGACAAGUCACUUGUGAAAUCUCCGGGCUUAACUCGGAACGGUCAAGUGAUACUGUCGUGCUAGAGUACAGAAGGGGCAACUGGAAUUCUCGGUGUAGCGGUGAAAUGCGUAGAUAUCGAGAGGAACACCUGCGGCGAAGGCGGGUUGCUGGGCUGAUACUGACGCUGAGGCGCGAAAGCCAGGGGAGCGAAAGGG
rnacentral:rRNA from 1 species